AGCUCCAAUAGCGUAUAUUAAAGUUGUUGCAGUUAAAAAGCUCGUAGUUGGAUUUGUGGUUUGAUCAGCUGGCUGGGCCUUUUGGCCUUUGCUGUGCUGGUCAUCCAUCCUUGGGUGGAAUCUGUGUGGCAUUAGGUUGUCGUGCAGGGGAGACCCAUCUUUUACUGUGAAAAAAUUAGAGUGUUCAAAGCAGGCUUAUGCCGUUGAAUAUGUUAGCAUGGAAUAAUGAUAUAGGGCCUCCGGUACUAUUUUUGUUGGUUUGCGCACUGAGGUAAUGAUUAAUAGGGACAGUUGGGGGUAUUUGUAUUCCAUUGUAAGAGGUGAAAUUCUUGGAUUUUUGGAAGACAAACUACUGCGAAAGCAUUUACCAAGGAUGUUUUCAUUAAUCAAGAACGAAAGU
rnacentral:rRNA from 1 species